ACCUGAGCCGCGCUGCGCCUGCGUCCUCCGCGACUCCGCGCUUGGCAGCCCCUUCCUGGGAAGGUGUAAAAUGCCGCCAGGUGUGGGGUGUGUUUUGGGAGAAGAAGGGAGACAAGCGGUAGAGUUCAUCGUGGAGAGGACCAAGACAGAAGAUCAAGAAGAAUUUUUUUUUUAAUCUCUUCCCUUGUCCACCGAAAGACCAUCAAAACUAGAGAGAGAUUAUCAAAUGCCUGGUGACAAGUCCUCGGCUGCACUGGCUUCACAGGAGCUUAUGUGGAGAAGAAAAAGAAUUUGAGCCACAGCAACGAAACUCUAAAGUUGUUUCCAACUCUCUUACCAAAAGAGGCAUCCAGCCCAACAGCUCUCAACCUGGAGUAAAGCUCCCACGUGCCCUGUGGAGCAUCCUCGCUUUGAUUCCAUCCCUUUACUCCCAUUCAGAGAAUUCUACUUGAAUUUAAAUAAAUGACUCUUCUGCUAUUAUUGUGGUAAGCUUGAUUCUGCUGUGAUUUGAAAAGAACAAAAAAUAAAUUAUUGCAAAA
rnacentral:lncRNA from 10 species